GGGUUUGUGGUGUAAUGGCUAACACAUGACUUUUGCAAAGUCAAGUUUAGGGUUCGAGUCCCUCUUGCUCCA
rnacentral:tRNA from 1 species